AACUAAGGCUAAUUCCAUUAACUCUUCCCUACUCUUUUCUUUUGAUAAGAGAGUUUUUAAAACCAGUGUUAUUUAUGUAAGUUUAAGAGAAGUUUAUGUAUUAAAUUAUUGAUAUUAAAUAGUUUUAUUAGGCUUAGACUUAAUUUUAGGUCAUUUUGGGGGUUUAGCUCAGUUGGCUAGAGCAUCGGCUUUGCAAGCCGAGGGUCAAGGGUUCGAGUCCCUUAACCUCCAUUGGGCUUAUGCCCUAAAUUGUAAUUAAGUAUGUUUUUAAGUAACUUUGUUAAAGUAAUUGUUGGAAUGUGAAACACAAGAAGUUAAAAUUUCUGGGUUAAGUUGAGAUCUGUUGAUAUUAAGAAAAAUGUCUAGAAGCAAAAGCAAGCUUUCGAUAAAACCCGAAGUUGUUUCGCUAAAGUGCAAGGAUUAAACAGGAUUGUAUUUUUCAGCAGCCUAUUUUAUAAACGAUCUGCAUUUAGUAAAUAGUUUUUAGUUAGGAAAUAAUGUAGAUUACUAAGUGUGAUGUCUGAGAGAAGGACAAGUAUUGUAGCGAGCUUAAAUCCUUAUUAUCGUUGCCAGUAUUUAGUGGUAGGGAUUCGGAUAAGAUUGCCAGUUAUAAGUUGGAGGAAGGCAAAGAUUGCAUUAAAUCGUUAUCGCUCUUAUGUUUUAGGUUACAAGUUUGCAACAAUAACUCAAAAAAGCCAAGCAAAAUACCAUAUAGCAGAUUUCAGUUUGGAUUUGCCCGACACUCAAUGGCAUGAAGUUGU
rnacentral:misc_RNA from 1 species